rnacentral:tRNA from 1 species
UAGCUCAAUUGGCAGAGCGUCGGUCUCCAAAACCGAAGGUUGUAGGUUCGAUUCC